rnacentral:rRNA from 1 species
AAAUUGAAGAGUUUGAUCAUGGCUCAGAUUGAACGCUGGCGGCAGGCCUAACACAUGCAAGUCGAACGGUAACAGGAAACAGCUUGCUGUUUCGCUGACGAGUGGCGGACGGGUGAGUAAUGUCUGGGAAACUGCCUGAUGGAGGGGGAUAACUACUGGAAACGGUAGCUAAUACCGCAUAAUGUCGCAAGACCAAAGAGGGGGACCUUCGGGCCUCUUGCCAUCGGAUGUGCCCAGAUGGGAUUAGCUAGUAGGUGGGGUAACGGCUCACCUAGGCGACGAUCCCUAGCUGGUCUGAGAGGAUGACCAGCCACACUGGAACUGAGACACGGUCCAGACUCCUACGGGAGGCAGCAGUGGGGAAUAUUGCACAAUGGGCGCAAGCCUGAUGCAGCCAUGCCGCGUGUAUGAAGAAGGCCUUCGGGUUGUAAAGUACUUUCAGCGGGGAGGAAGGGAGUAAAGUUAAUACCUUUGCUCAUUGACGUUACCCGCAGAAGAAGCACCGGCUAACUCCGUGCCAGCAGCCGCGGUAAUACGGAGGGUGCAAGCGUUAAUCGGAAUUACUGGGCGUAAAGCGCACGCAGGCGGUUUGUUAAGUCAGAUGUGAAAUCCCCGGGCUCAACCUGGGAACUGCAUCUGAUACUGGCAAGCUUGAGUCUCGUAGAGGGGGGUAGAAUUCCAGGUGUAGCGGUGAAAUGCGUAGAGAUCUGGAGGAAUACCGGUGGCGAAGGCGGCCCCCUGGACGAAGACUGACGCUCAGGUGCGAAAGCGUGGGGAGCAAACAGGAUUAGAUACCCUGGUAGUCCACGCCGUAAACGAUGUCGACUUGGAGGUUGUGCCCUUGAGGCGUGGCUUCCGGAGCUAACGCGUUAAGUCGACCGCCUGGGGAGUACGGCCGCAAGGUUAAAACUCAAAUGAAUUGACGGGGGCCCGCACAAGCGGUGGAGCAUGUGGUUUAAUUCGAUGCAACGCGAAGAACCUUACCUGGUCUUGACAUCCACAGAACUUUCCAGAGAUGGAUUGGUGCCUUCGGGAACUGUGAGACAGGUGCUGCAUGGCUGUCGUCAGCUCGUGUUGUGAAAUGUUGGGUUAAGUCCCGCAACGAGCGCAACCCUUAUCCUUUGUUGCCAGCGGUCCGGCCGGGAACUCAAAGGAGACUGCCAGUGAUAAACUGGAGGAAGGUGGGGAUGACGUCAAGUCAUCAUGGCCCUUACGACCAGGGCUACACACGUGCUACAAUGGCGCAUACAAAGAGAAGCGACCUCGCGAGAGCAAGCGGACCUCAUAAAGUGCGUCGUAGUCCGGAUUGGAGUCUGCAACUCGACUCCAUGAAGUCGGAAUCGCUAGUAAUCGUGGAUCAGAAUGCCACGGUGAAUACGUUCCCGGGCCUUGUACACACCGCCCGUCACACCAUGGGAGUGGGUUGCAAAAGAAGUAGGUAGCUUAACCUUCGGGAGGGCGCUUACCACUUUGUGAUUCAUGACUGGGGUGAAGUCGUAACAAGGUAACCGUAGGGGAACCUGCGGUUGGAUCACCUCCUUACCUUAAAGAA